AAAAACCGUACGCCUCCGCUCCUCUCUCGAUCCACCCCUCGCGAUGCCACCUCUCUCUCCCUCUUAGGGUGCCCUCAAGCGAGGCCUCCAGAUCCCUUCGCCGCCAGCCUCCGAUCUCCUCCCCGGCUCCCGGCGCCGCCCGCCCCCAUCUCCUCCCCCGAUCCCGGCGCCACCCGCCCCCACCUUCUCCCUCACUCCCGGCGCCGCCCCGCGAUCCAUUGCAUCACGGUGGGACGAGUCAUGGCAAUGGUGACGGCGGCCGACAUGGUGUCCCGGCCGCUGCAUGUCUCCCUCCUCCCGCGAUCCCGGCCGCUGCAUGUCUCCCUCCUCCCCCGAUCCCGGUCGCCGCAUGUCUCCCUCCACCUGCAGCCGCACCUCUGCCCCUCGCCUCCCGCAUCGGCGCCAGAAGCCUUUUACGUCACGGAUCCGAGAGACUGGAGGCCGAUCUUGCCGGUGAGGAGAUGGUGGCGGCGCCGACGAGCCGCCCCCCUUGGCGCCGUUGCCGCUGGGCACCGAGACAAAGGAGUGGUGGAUGCCAACGCCUCGAGGCCUGCCUCAAGUACAGAUCAUCAGCGGCAAAUAUUCAAUCAACAUACGACCACUGAGGGGAUCCACCGGUGCAAUAUGAAUGAUGAAGGAGAAGAGCAACGAACACAAAUCUUCCCCACGGCUAUUGAUUUUAUGCACAUCAGCUGCAUCAUGUGAUAUGGUAAACCAACAGAGGUAUGUGGAUAAUCCAAACUGCUUAUUUUUUGUCCGACACCGCCCCACCUUCAGUGACCUGAUUGCUAGCAAAAUGUCACAACAGGUUUGUUUCGAAGUAUCAGUUCAAAAUAUGGCGAUUGAAUAAAAAAACACUAUCUUAUUUUUUAUCUCACGGAUCAUACUUUAAAGUUAAUAAUUUUUAUAAUGCUCUGUAAUAGAGUCGUGUUGGUUGUGUAAUUCUUGAGUGAGUUACAUGUUCUCUCCAUCACCCCCUUUAUUUUUGGCAAAUCAAUUGCCUUCUUCAUGUGUUUCAGCUGCUAGGACUGAAGGCCGAAGUAAUGUAUGUUUAAUCUCAACAAUUUAGUUAUAAGUCUAAUUAAUUCAUACCAUCUCUGAAACAUUCAGUUCUAAUUGGUUGCAUACUUGCCAAAGAUCAUAUGACACAGUAGCCAUGGACGCCACAUCAGCUUGGGAACAUGGCCACAACAGAUUGGUAUCUUCUCUUCUGAAAUUGGUUGCAUACUUGCCAAAGGUCGCAUGACUCAGCAGCUAUGGACGCCACAUCUGCUUGGGAAUGUGGCGGCAACAGAUUGGUAUUUGUUGGAUGGCAACUCUAAGCUGCAUGCAUGUUCAUUGGGAGAAUCAUGAUGAAUCUUUGAUCAACACUGUCAAAGAUGAAAAGGCGAAUUCUUCGAUUCCCCGGGCUGUCAAGGAUUUUGUACUUCCAGCAGGUUUUCUAGGUGAAUGUUGGCAUCCCCGUGUGGUUUGGUUAUGCAUCUAUGCAUUGCUUUUGCUCUUUGUCAUGGAGUACUAACUGUGGAAGUUCAGGUUUACAAUCUUAGAAAUGCAGUGAUUGAUGUGUUUUCUAAUCGUAAUGCAGCAAACAAAUUGUUUUGCAAGUUAUGUACUUUAAUUAUCUGUAUCUUACCAUUCUUACCAAGUACUGUCAAAUGUACAUCUUGAUUUUGUAUAUGUAUUUCCCUCAGUUUCUUGUAGGUUCCUGCAUAAGAGGUCAUUAUUGCAGAGUUGGAGACUGACACUGUGUUUAUCAGUACAUGCUAUUGGAAUUCCCAACAAACUUGACAGGAUGGAUCAGUCACACGUUGGUUACAUCAAGUCUUCUAAAGUUAGGCCAGCAACGGUAUAUCCGUAAAGAACAGCGACAGCUAAAGGAAACCAUUCAGCAGGUAAGAAUGAGAUAGACUUUUCAGUGCCAGGCAACCAUUGCGCUGUAGAGAAGUGGAACAACAUUCAUGGUACUGCUAUUGUUAAUCGAAAGAACUUUCUUUUGUUAACAUGGUACCCACUAACGUGUGCAUAUGCAUUUUUCUCCUGUAGUCCUAGAGGGAUAAAGACACAUAUAAUUACGAUGGAGGUGACAGGCCUGAAAAUAUCUAUUUUUUUAAUCUUGAAGGCAGUACGAGAGGCCCUAAUGACAUAUAUACAGUACUAACAAGAAUAUGGGGGCUUUCAUAACUUGAGGUCGGCCCCAUGUUGCCACCGUGGCCGGUGACUCGGGUGGAUCCAAUCCCCCCGGCCUCCAGGGUCAUUGUGCCCUCUCUCCAUUACCUCCUUCGUCGCUGGAGGAUGCUGACGGGCUAAGCCUAGGGGGUCGACGAUGAUGGCGGAGGCUCCUGCCUUCACUGCAUCGGUGGAUCACGCGGAAUCUCUGGGCACAUGGAGCAUUGCCAAAACCAGCACCAGGGUGGCGCUCGGCUGACUCCCGACGUUGGUUCCACACAAACACAUGGGGAGGGGAACUAUAUGUUACAAUCUGAAAAUGGCUAAGGAGACAUCAGAUCUACCUUCUUGGCUCGGAGGGUGUCAUGGGUGGCGCACAACUCCCCCCUAUCGACAGAAACACAUGGGGAGGGGAACAGAACAGAGAGCGGGGCGGUUGGCGGGGGACUCCUCGGCGGUCCGUGGGGAAAUACAAUGUGAAGAAGAGAGUGCGACAUGACGAAGGUAUUUACCUAGAUCCUUGAAAUGCUAUUCGUAUUGGCCUGAAUGCAGUUGAAUUCUGAAUCAUAAACAAGCUGGGAGAUUUGUCUUCCACAUAGUAGGUGCUGAUGCUUAUGAUUUUCUUCAAAAAAGAUAUGGGAAAGGCUAACCCAAUAUUUUAGUUUUCAUUAUGAGGACCAUGUACAUAAUCGACCAUAUAGUUCAAAAAAGAUCUAUUGGUGAAGGUUUGUUUGAGUUCCACUAUUUCAGUUCACACAUGUACAUGUUCUGUAUUUUUUGCAGUUUUUAGUGCAUGCUCGGAGAACAAGAUAAGAGGAGAGGCUUGAAUCUUGAGAUGACAAGGGUAGUCACCUGCUGCGACUAAAGGAAGGAGGUCAAUGAAGCAAAAGGCACGAAAAGGAAGGAGCAGCGCCACAGGGACGAUGUUGUCGGCAGCGCUUUGGAAGGAUUCGCUCCAGAGAAGUUACGGUAGUCGGCCAUCGCCCAGGGGAAGCGGGGAGGAUGUCGUUCGAAACGCCUGGGUCUAGAGGAGUGUGUCCAGGUGGUGGCCGAGGAUGGCGACGAGCAAUUGGGUUGAGCAUUUGUCAACGUGAUGGUGUCGUUGCUAAAGGUACCAACACCCUUGUUUUGACCCAAUGUUUCUCGACUAGCUGUGAAUGGCUGGGACUGUUUCGUGCAUAUAGGGGACGGCUCAUGCCAUCCACUUCCAAAGCAAUAAGACUUGAAAGGAGAAAAUAUUGGCAAAAAGUCCCUCAAAGUUCGUAGUCUGGGUGUAGAAGGUUUGGAGAUUUUGAGCCGGAUGGGCCAUUGAUGGUUGCGGUUGGCUUGGAUAGGGAAUGUAGAGAUAGUAAGUGAAGAGGAGCAGGAGAACGAAGACGAAGAAGAAUAAUGGUUUAUAGGCAGAAAAAAAUUAAGAAUGUUGCUUAAUGUGCAUGAGGAUCCAAACAAUGUAUAUUUGACACGAUUAAAGUUAACUCAUGUCGAGCCUCAGGGUGGUGGUGGAGCAGUCA